rnacentral:tRNA from 1 species
CGCGGGAUGGAGCAGCCCGGUAGCUCGUCAGGCUCAUAACCUGAAGGUCGUAGGUUCAAAUCCURCYCCCGCAACC